CUGCUUUGUCAUGUUGAAUCUUUGCAUCUGGAGGAAUAGAUUCAUCCAUUUAUUCAACAAAUAUUAUUGAGCACCAACUAUGGGCUGAGGGUCUGUUAAAGUUUUAGGGGUACCCCAGUGGAAAAGGACAAGAUUCUUAAACUCAUGGAGAUUAUAUUGUCAAGCGAUAUAAAGAGAUCAGGGUAGUGAUGGUUACAUAAGCAUUUUAGAUAGGAUGGUCAGGGAAUGCUUUUGCUUGCAAAUAACUACUUGACUUGAAAAAAGGUAAGUGACCCAUGAAAAUAUAUAUGAGGAAAAAGCUUUCCAGGCAAAAGGAAAAGCAUAUGCAAAGGCUCUGUGAUAGGAGAAUGCUUGGUGUGUCUGAAGAAAGGACAACAAUGUAGCAAGAGGGGAAUGAUCAGGGAUGGGGGUUGGGAUGGGUGGCAGGAGAUAAGGUCAGAGCAAUCGCAGUGGCCCAGAUUUAGGAACUGUCGAAUAUGUGAAGACCUUAGGAUUUUACUCUGAGUGGGAUGGGUAUCUUUGGAGCAUAAAGUAUCACACUUGAAGUGUGACAAGAUCUGGCCUAUGUUUUAAAAGUAUCACUCUAGCUGCUAUAUUGAAAACAGAUGAGGAGACAGCCAGAGCAAUGGACGAAGAUAGAGGCACUGAAGCCAACUGGGAAACUACCACAAUAAUCCAGGAUGCCGGUGACAUGAACUAAGGUGGGUGAGAGGAUGAAUCAAGGCUGGCCAGACACAUUCAGAGGAUGUGCCUAUGUUCUGGAAACUUUGAAAACUACUCCUUUCACAUACUAGAAGCAUGGAAGAUCCAGCUGCCCUCUAAGGCCUCAAGUCAAUCGUCCCUUAUCCACCAAAAUGACUAAAUACCAUCUGACACUUUCCUUCUCUCCUGCUUGAGUCUGAAGACACAUUUGGAGUCUCUUGCCACCAGCAGAAUGACAACCCUUGUAGGUCUGUCGGGAAACCUGCAAGAAACCUGAGAUGGGAAAAGGUCAAGAACUGAAAACCAAUUGAAAAACCAUAUUGUGAGCAAACUUCUGUCUAAGGAGAAGGGAGAAAAAGGGAGGGCCGUGACCAGGGACAGACAGGAGCAAAGGCACCCCCAGCUCCCUCAAUUCCAGAGUGCUUGGGCAUCCUGCAGCAAUCUAGGAGCUCUUUGAUUGCCUCUUUUAAAUCUGCGUCAAGUGAUGCUGAGAACAUAUAUUCUUUGCUGAUAAAUGUUUCCCCUUUGAGCCUGGGGCCUACUUAACAGGUAUUUACUGGGACACGUGCAUGGAAAGAUGUGGAAGAUACAUUUUAGAUUUAGAUUGAAGGAGAGAAAGAGUCAUCGCCUAUAUUCCUAUCACUCACAUUCCAUCUAUCCACGUUCAUACAUAAAUCAUGGAGGAUACGCAGCUCCAGAGCCACCUUGCAUCAAAAUGGAGUCAGAUUAAAGGGUUCACCAGCUGAUUGAUGUACAUCAAUGAUACACUGACGUCAAAGAAGACGAUAUAAGCUGAGUGUCAUGGACGCCUAUAAUCCCAGCAACUCGGGAGGCUGAGGCAGGAGUAUCCCUUGAGCCAAGGAGUUCAAGACUAGCCUGAAAAACAUAGUGAGUCCCCAUCUCAUAAAAUUUUUUUUUAAAAGAGACAACAUACAACAUAGACUAUACUACCCAUUGUAUAAAGGAUAAGGUUAAAAUGUCUUAACCUAUAGAUACUUGGGGUGAAAAUUAGACAGCCUAUGUUUGAUUACUUAUUUGGUCUAAAUUCAAGGGUCACACUUAAACUGAUUUUUAAUGAGAUUGGAUUAAUAACUAGAAAGGCAAAUAAACUUGAAGCCAAUGGACAAUAGAUCUAUAUGACAGUUUAUGAUCCGGGGAUAGGAUGUAUAUUUCUGGGCCUUGAAGGGCAGUGUUUUUCAGAGUGUUUCCUCCUAAAAUCUCUUGAGAAAUGCAAUGCUCUCCUUUUCUCCCAUGUGUGAACCAAAUGAGGUGGUACCACACCCUGUCUGCUAUCACUUUUUAUUUCGAGUCCCAGCUCAGAAAAAUGUAACCUUUGUUUUUGUCUCUCUUUUCCUUUACAACUUCGCUUUCCCAUCCUCCUUCAUUCUCUCAUUCUGGUCACCUUCCAAGGCUUCAUUCUCUACUCUCUUUCCUAUGUACUAAUCUCCAAUGAUUACCUCAUCUACCUACACAGUUUUGAUUGUGAGCAGAUGGUUCCCGUGGAAGUAUUUCUGGCCACAACUACUUAAUUUCUAAAUCAAAAUCCUAACUGUCUACUGGACACUUCCACUAGCUAUCUCAGCAACUCAAACACAUAUCUAAAUAGAACUUAACUUUUUCUUUACCAGCCAUAUUUACUUAAACAGCUCUUGAUCCUCACUUUCCCCACUUAGUUUGUGAUAGCACUCAUCUUCAAGUUUUUGCUUCCUAAAUCUGAAUAUUCACUCAGUUCCUUCCACUUUUCCUUUUUACUGUCUUCUGCCUAUGCCUCAUUUUCACCAAUUGCAUCCUAAUAGAGAUCUUGAAGAGGAUAACACAUUCAAUAACCAACAAAACUUACAUCACUAUAUUGAAAGUUGAGUCUGGCAUGAUGGCUCAUACCUGUAGUCUUAGCUACUUGAGAGGCUGAGGCAGAAGGAUCAUUUGAGCCCAGAAGUUUGAGACCAGCCUAGGCAACAUAGAGAGACUGUCUCUCUCUCUCUUCCCUCUUUUUGUUGUUGUUUUUUUUUGUUUGUUUGUUUAAUGAAAGAGAGAAAGUUGAAACAGGCAAUAGUAUGGAAAAAAUUAUAGUCCAAACUCGCUGUUAAGCAUAGAUAAAG
rnacentral:lncRNA from 10 species